UGACGAUGCAAAGCGUGAUCCUCUGAGCGCGAAGCACGUCGAGGGCAUUGCCUUGAUUGGUAGGUCGCCACCGACGAUUGAUGACCGUUCUUCCCUGCCCAUUUGUGGCUGGGAGGAGGAGGAUCACGCAUUCAGAGUGGG
rfam:Nematostella vectensis strain CH2 x CH6 NEMVEscaffold_5252_Cont49388, whole genome shotgun sequence.